rnacentral:rRNA from 1 species
UACGAAGGGGGCUAGCGUUGCUCGGAAUCACUGGGCGUAAAGCGCACGUAGGCGGCUUUGUAAGUCAGAGGUGAAAGCCUGGAGCUCAACUCCAGAACUGCCUUUGAGACUGCAUCGCUUGAAUCCAGGAGAGGUGAGUGGAAUUCCGAGUGUAGAGGUGAAAUUCGUAGAUAUUCGGAAGAACACCAGUGGCGAAGGCGGCUCACUGGAGCUGGUAUUGACGCUGAGGUGCGAAAGCGUGGGGAGCAAACAGGG